rnacentral:lncRNA from 1 species
AACUUCCCUCUAGAGCCUCUAGCCUAGCUUGAUGGGUAUUGGAAUUUCCUCCGGACUUUAUUCUUUUUUCUCUCCAAAGUCACACCAAACCUCCUUUGGUCGUCACCCAAGGGAUGAACCAACCCUCCUUCUUAUAAUAAUUGUGAAAGAUACACCACUCAAUCACCUCCGAUUACAACAAGGGUUUACAAUAGAACAAGCCUCACAAUCUGAGAGGAACGUGUUGUUACUCUACUUGCUCCCUACCCGGUGUAGUUAGGAGGGCACGAGAUACUACCAGUAGUCUCCCUUUUGUAUCAUUCCUCAUAUACCCUAACACCGAAUAGUUGGGUCAAAUAACGCCGGAUACUACCAGUAGCCUCUCUGUUGGCACCAUUCCUAUAAUGAGCAAUAUAGAAAAUAAUCCGUCCGCUUUACAAGAAAAUGCUCUCACUCCCUUUGCAAGUAAAGAAUUUAUAGUGCUGAAAUUUAAAUACUACUUGCAAGUAAAGUAACUCGUAGCUGACCCUCCCACACUCUCAACAAGGAAUUCAAAGUGCAAGAAG